rnacentral:tRNA from 1 species
GCGGGCGUGGCGGAAAUGGCAGACGCGCUAGACUUAGGAUCUAGUGAUUUGUUUCGUGCAGGUUCAAGUCCUGUCGCCCGCACCA